GUAACAGUAAAGAAACAUGUGUAACAUUAAAUUAAACAUUAAAGAAACAUGUGUUACAUUAAAUUAAACAUAAAAUAAAUGAGUAACAUUAAAUAAACAUGUGUUACAUUAAAUCAAACAUUAAAGAAACAUGUGUAACAUUAAGUUAAACAUUAAAGAAAUGUGUAAUAUUAAAUAAACAUGUGUUACAUUGAAUUAAAUUAAAUUAAACAUUAAAUAAACAUUUGCAACAUUAAAUAAACAUGUGUAAUAUUAAAUUAAACAAUUAAACAUCAAAUAAAUGUGUAAUAUUAAAUAUUGUCCCUGAUGGGAAACAUCAUCAUGACCAUUUUCUCAGAUACUUUUUUUUUUUUUUUUUUUUUCAAUAGAAUGUUUUUUGCAGUGGACAGUGUUUGUUUUUCCUUUUUUUUUUUAAAAACUAAGUAAAACUGUGAAAGGGGACAAAAAUGCAUCUGCACAGGCAUUUUCUUCAGUGUGAACUUCAAAUCCACUCGACAACAAAUGGAGACGGAGUUAUUUUUAAUUUUUUUUCUGUUUUUUGUAAGUGAAUCCAAAUGUUUACUCAGUCAUUUCUGCUUCAACCUGCAUCUGAAACAUCACAUGGAAUCACAUGACACUCACCGUCUCACUGUUCUUCACGCUCGUUCAUUUUUACGUCUGUAUUUCUGAGGUUCUAAACAGAGGUGUGGUUCAAACAUGUUCAUUUUUAACGUCUGUAUUUCUGGGGUUCUAAACAGAGGUGUGGUUCAAACAUGUUCAUUUUUAACGUCUGUAUUUCUGGGGUUCUAAACAGAGGUGUGGUUCAAACAUGUUCAUUUUUAACGUCUGUAUUUCUGGGGUUCUAAACAGAGGCGUGGUUCAAACAUGUUCAUUUUUAACGUCUGUAUUUCUGGGGUUCUAAACAGAGGCGUGGUUCAAACAUGUUCAUUUUUAACGUCUGUAUUUCUGGGGUUCUAAACAGAGGCGUGGUUCAAACAUGUUCAUUUUUAACGUCUGUAUUUCUGGGGUUCUAAACAGAGGCGUGGUUCAAACAUGUUCAUUUUUAACGUCUGUAUUUCUGGGGUUCUAAACAGAGGCGUGGUUCAAACAUGUCAGUCAGUGUUAAAGGAACACUGAGCUGUGAACACACCCUUUUCAGAACAGGUUUAAACUUCCUUUUUCCUGUCGGUGCUUCAGUUUUAAGGCAGAACGUCAGCUGUUUUCUGUGUCUGUGAAUUUAAGCUGUGACAGUGGUUUGUUUCCUCUGGUUUGUCGACACUUUGUGAUGUUUACUCUGUUUUUAUUCUGAUGUUUACCUUCUUUUAUGUCUUUUUAUCAAAGCCAUGACUGUUACUAAACCUCUGAUAAUAAAAUCCUUCUGCUGUUGUUUUGG